ensembl:snoRNA SNORA65 small nucleolar RNA SNORA65
CCCGCCACUGUGCCUGCCUGAUUUCAUCUGUGGCUUGUACAUUCCAGUGGUGAGCUAAGAGGAAACCGCCAUUCAAGGAAACAGGGUUAUUUCUCUUCAUGGGUAACUCUGUGCCGAAGAAUGGGAACAGAG